GGUCAGAAACUUGUAUCUCCCAGCCUCCAGAUUAGGAUCACAGAUACUGUUUCUAGAGUAUGCUGAAACACAAAACACUUGAACAGUGACCGAUGCUAAACACUUCAAAGGCGUUCAUUAAGACUCUAUAAAGGCUUCAGAGACGAUCCAGCCGUUAAGUGCACUAGCUACUCUUCUAGAGGAUCCACGAUCAGUUCUCAGCACAUACAGACGCCAUCUUCUUUGGAAACCAGGCUUACAUGUGGAACACUCAUACACAAAAUAAAAAUGAGUAAAAAAAA